AUUUGUUUCGUCUAGGGGUUAGGACAUCUUUUUUCAAGAAGAAAACACGAGUUCAAUUCUCGUAAUAAAUA
rnacentral:tRNA from 1 species